GAUAGCUCAGUAGGAUAGAGCGGGUGCCUCCUAAGCACCAGGCCAUCGGUUCGAUUCCGGUUC
rnacentral:tRNA from 1 species